rnacentral:rRNA from 1 species
UACGGAGGGUGCAAGCGUUAUCCGGAUUCACUGGGUUUAAAGGGUGUGUAGGCGGGCAUUUAAGUCAGUGGUGAAAUCUCCGAGCUCAACUCGGAAACUGCCAUUGAUACUAUUUGUCUUGAAUAUCGUUGAGGUUGGCGGAAUAUAUCAUGUAGCGGUGAAAUGCUUAGAUAUGAUAUAGAACACCGAUUGCGAAGGCAGCUAACUAAGCGAUGAUUGACGCUGAGGCACGAAAGCGUGGGGAUCAAAC